ensembl:lncRNA
AUGAUGUUGGUUGGUUAUGUUUGGGGGUAUCUGGCUGAUCGCAGAGUAAGGUGGAGGUGGAACGUUCCGAUAAUUUCUCUGGCAGUGAAUGGCGUAUUUGGGGCAGUGGCCAGUUUAGCCACGAGGUUCUGGCUCUUUUUGCUCCUGCUGUUCUUCAGGGGUCUGCGGCUCCAUUCCUGUCAUCUUCUCCUAUUUUUCGAAGUUUCAGCCACGUUUGAGGAGGGGGGCAAUGAUCAGCACUCUAGCCACCUUCUGGGUGGCUGGAAAUAUUUUAGCAGCAGGUGUGGCAUGGUUGCUGAUUCCCACAACAUCUUUGAAUGCUCAUUGGGGCUGGUUGAAUUUUCAGAGUUGGCAUCUUUUUGUAGUCCUCCGUCCUCAGUCUGUCAUCAGCACUGAUUUUCAGACUGUUCAUGCCAGAGAGCCCCAAGUUUCUAAUGGAGGUGUGUACUGACUGAUACUUUACUUUUUUUUUGAGACUGAUAUAAAAGUUCAAUUAAUAGGCUGUAAAUUCUACAACUUCAUGUGUCUGAACAAGUUACAGUUCUAGAAUUUAUGUACUGUAUUAAGGUCCAUUACAGGCUGCAUGUUUGGUGGCACGUUAUUACACAAUGUGUUUCUCUUCCACAGGCCGGAUGUGAGGCAGAGGCUUUGUCUGUGUUCCAGACGAUGUUCAAACUAAACAACAGAUGUGCCACAAAUCCAUUUCCUAUCCGUAUCACCUUAGUGAUGUUUGCUUUUCAUUAAAAGGCCAAACCUUCCCACUUUUCAUAAAGGAAACUACAUUAUUUUGGUGUGUCAGUUGAUAAAACAGGUACUAGGUCUUGUGAUCAGAUCAGAUGAUGAAGUAAAAAAACAGACCCACUAGUGGCUCAAGAUGUCAGCAGUUCAGCCACCAUCUCAAACCGGUUCAGCGCACUUCUUUUCUGCUUUCUUAGAAGCUAUUAAUGCUAACAUGAAGUCUUACCCAGCUCUUUAUGGCCCUGCUGGUUCUUCUACAGGCUCUGGACCCCAUGAAACAGCUGUUUGUUGGAACGUUGGUUUUCAGAAGAGUUGUUCUGCUGAUUAUAUUAUAUUACAUAUUAUAUAAAUAUUACAUAUUUUUCUGCAUUUCAUUUGGGUACUUAACAAAUUAUAAAAGGCAAAAUAUUCAAGGUUAAGGUUAGUCAAGGUUUUAAGACCAAAGUCAGUCAUAGUUAAGUCGAAUCUUAGAAUAAAACAAGCUGUUUUUCUUUGCUGCUACA